UUUCUUACACAUGUGUUUUUCUUUUUUUGAAAACUUUGCUUUGGUAGGCCUUCUAUAUGGGGCCUGCCAGAGAUUAAACUCAACCAAAUUUUAUUUAAUNUCAACCGAUUAUUUAAUAGUCAAAACUUUCAACAACGGAUCUCUUGGUUCUCGCAUCGAUGAAGAACGCAGCGAAAUGCGAUAAGUAAUAUGAAUUGCAGAUAUUCGUGAAUCAUCGAAUCUUUGAACGCACAUUGCGCCCUUUGGUAUUCCAAAGGGCAUGCCUGUUUGAGCGUCAUUUCUCCCUCAAACCCUCGGGUUUGGUGUUGAGCGAUACGCUGGGUUUGCUUGAAAGAAAGGCGGAGUAUAAACUAAUGGAUAGGUUUUUUCCACUCAUUGGUACAAACUCCAAAACUUCUUCCAAAUUCGACCUCAAAUCAGGUAGGACUACCCGCUGAACUUAAGCAU
rnacentral:rRNA from 1 species